GGGCAAUUGGCUCAGUGGUUUAGAGCGUACGGUUCACAUCCGUGAGAUCGGGGGUUCAAAUCCCUCAUUGCCCA
rnacentral:tRNA from 1 species